rnacentral:rRNA from 1 species
AUGGAGCACAACCUCCGAAUUGUAUUUUGGAACGUGUGUGGCCUAAAUGCCCCGGCCAAGCGCACUGCCAUCCGCAGCGUGAUCACCUCUGCUUCCCCAUGUACCGUUUGUAUUCAAGAAACCAAGAUGAUUUCCCUUUCGUCCUCGCUUGUCGCUGAGACGCUCGGCCCGUCCUUUUCCGAGUUCUUCCUUCUUCCUGCUGAUGGGACACGUGGGGGCAUCCUGCCUGCAUGGCGCCCAGACAUGAUCGCACUCUCCGAUCCCUAUCUUGGCGAGCACCACAUCACCGCCCUAGCCUCCUCUCUCGAUGGCGAGCAUCACUGGUGGCUUACCGGCGUCUACGGCCCGCAAGGAGAUGAUGACAAGAUUGCCUUCCUUGGCGACCUUACCGAGGUUCGAUCAUUGCACGCCGGCCCUUGGAUCCUAGGGGGUGAUUUCAACAUGAUCGCCGAGGCGGCGGACAAGAACAACUCCUGAAUCAACUAUCAUGUCAUGUCUCGCUUC